GGGGGGGCAAGCGUUGUUCGGAAUUACUGGGCGUAAAGGGCGCGCAGGCGGCCUGGCAAGUCCUACGUGAAAUCCCACAGCUUAACUGUGGAACUGCGUGGGAUACUGCCAGGCUUGAGUCCGGGAGAGGAGAGUGGAAUUCCCAGUGUAGCGGUGAAAUGCGUAGAUAUUGGGAGGAACACCGGUGGCGAAGGCGGCUCUCUGGACCGGUACUGACGCUGAGGCGCGAAAGCUAGGGGAGCAAACGGGGAUUAGAUACCCCGGUAGUCCUAGCCGUAGACUUUGAGCACUUUGUGUGGCGGGUAUCGACCCCUGCCGUGCAGAAGCUAACGCAUCAAGUGCUCCGCCUGGGGAUACGGUCGCAAGGCUG
rnacentral:rRNA from 1 species